rnacentral:lncRNA from 1 species
CAUACACCAUUUUUUCAAGGAUUUUGGAUGCAAAAGGCAGUAGCGAGAUAGGACGAUACUUGGAUGGGGAGUUAGGGUCAAGAUUGGGCUUCUUUAGAAUUGGGGUUACAGUUGCAUGUUUGAAGGGCAAUGGAAAUAUACCAGAGGAGAGAGAAAGAUUGAGAAUUUUAGUGAGAGGUGGAGAAAAAGAAGAAGACAGAGUACGGAUGAGAUGCGAG